GCCCUUGGGGAAUCUUCCGCAAUGGGCGAAAGCCUGACGGAGCAAUACCGCGUGAGGGAUGAAGGAUUUUGGUCUGUAAACCUCUUUUCUCAAGAAAGAAGUUCUGACGGUACUUGAGGAAUAAGCAUCGGCUAACUCCGUGCCAGCAGCCGCGGUAAUACGGGGGAUGCAAGCGUUAUCCGGAAUCAUUGGGCGUAAAGCGCCUGUAGGUUGUUUAAUAAGUCUGUUGUUAAAGACUAGGGCUCAACCCUAGAAAAGCAAUGGAAACUACUAGACUAGAGUAUGGCAGGGGUAGAGGGAAUUUCUAGUGUAGCGGUGAAAUGCGUAGAUAUUAGAAAGGACACCGGUGGCGAAAGCGCUCUACUGGACCAUUACUGACACUCAGAGGCGAAAGCUAGGGUAGCAAAAGGGAUUAGAUACCCCUGUAGUC
rnacentral:rRNA from 1 species